rnacentral:rRNA from 1 species
GAGUAAUVCAUCGGARCGUGCCCAGAGGUGGGGGAUAACGCAGCGAAAGCUGUGCUAAUACCGCAUGUGAUCUGAGGAUGAAAGCGGGGGACCAAGCAGCAAUGUUUGGCCUCGCGCCUCUGGAGCGGCCGAUGUCAGAUUAGGUAGUUGGUGGGGUAAAGGCCUACCAAGCCGACGAUCUGUAGCUGGUCUGAGAGGACGACCAGCCACACUGGGACUGAGACACGGCCCAGACUCCUACGGGAGGCAGCAGUKGGGAAUUUYSGACAAUGGGCGCAAGCUGAUCCAGCAAUGCCGCGUGCGGGAAGAAGGCCUUCGGGUUGUAAACCGCUUUUGUACGGAACGAAAAGGCUCUGGCUAAUACCUGGGGCUGAUGACGGUACCSUAAGAAUAAGCACCGGCUAACUACGUGCCAACAGCCGCGGUAAUACGUAGGGUGCGAGCBUUAAUCGGAAUUACUGGGCGUAAAGCGUGCSCAGGCGGUCUU